rnacentral:rRNA from 1 species
UACAGAGGGGGCAAGCGUUGUUCGGAAUUACUGGGCGUAAAGGGCGCGUAGGCGGCCCGCUAAGUCGAACGUGAAAUCCCCGAGCUCAACUCGGGAACUGCGUCCGAUACUGGCGGGCUUGAAUCCGGGAGAGGGAUGCGGAAUUCCAGGUGUAGCGGUGAAAUGCGUAGAUAUCUGGAGGAACACCGGUGGCGAAGGCGGCGUCCUGGACCAACACUGACACUGAGGAGCGAAAGCCAGGGGAGCAAACGGG